rnacentral:rRNA from 1 species
GAUGAACGCUAGCGACAGGCCUAACACAUGCAAGUCGAGGGGCAGCACAAGGAGCAAUCUGAGGUGGCGACCGGCGCACGGGUGAGUAACACGUAUGCAACCUACCUGUAAGCGGGGAAUAACACGGAGAAAUUCGGACUAAUACCGCAUAAAACUGCGAAACUGCAUGGUUUUGCAUUUAAACAUAUAUGGCUUACAGAUGGGCAUGCGUAUGAUUAGCUAGUUGGUGAGGUAACGGCUAACCAAGGCAACGAUCAUUAGGGGUUAUGAGAGGAAGGUCCCCCACACUGGUACUGAGACACGGACCAGACUCCUACGGGAGGCAGCAGUGAGGAAUAUUGGUCAAUGGGCGAGAGCCUGAACCAGCCAAGUCGCGUGAAGGAAGAAGGUUCUAUGGAUUGUAAACUUCUUUUGUAAGGGAAUAAAAAGUAGUACUUGUACUAUCUUGUAUGUACUUUACGAAUAAGGAUCGGCUAACUCCGUGCCAGCCGCCGCCGUAACAC